GGCGGAGGUGGGAGGGGGGGCGCCUCAGUACCCUCGUCUGUGAAAUGGGGCUUUGGGUUCAGGCGCUCCCACAGGUCCGUUGGACCCCCCCAAGAGUGUCAUUCUGAACAGAGAAGUGCGGCUAGAGGGAGCCGAGAGGAAGCAGAGGAAGGGACGCGCUUGGAGGGACUGGACACGGCGCCGUGGGACCCAAGGGCUCAGCCGCGGACGCCUCUGGGAGCGCAGCGCCUGGGCGGUGCGUCCACACUCUCGGUGUCCGGUGUCCGGCGGGCCCAACCUUGACCAGCACCGGCGCUCAGCACUUAUCUGCGCGCUCGAAUCCCGGCGGCCUUGGAGGUUCAACCCGACAGCUUGGUGAUAUUCUCGCCGCUGCCACCCCCUCGGAACACGUCCGGGAGCUGGGAAUCCUCCGAGCGACACCGGUUCCCGAAGCAGGACAGGGACGAAAUGGACCGACGGAGUUGAUAGUUGUUUUUAUACCCGUCCGGAGCUGCACCCCGAGCUGUCAUAAUUUUUUCAGAAGGCCUGAUGAUGAGGUGCUUCCAGACACUUAUUAACUGAUCGAUUCCUGGAACAUUUCUCCACUUCCUGGGCCUGUUUCCUCAUCUGUGAAACAGGGGAGGUGUCUCUACCUGGACUGGGGUGUGGACUUAUAUGAGAUGACAAAGGCAAACCAAUAGAGAGGUGAGGUUAAUACAGUGUGUGGAAAGCAAUGUUAGUGAUAGCCGCAAAGCUCUGGGUGUGUGAUCAACUGCCCCGGGGAAGUUCCAAUAGGACAUCAAACUAGAGGGCAUCUCUGAACAGCUGAGCCACCAAGCCAAGAUAAAAGCUGAGAUUUGCUGAGUGGCUAGCUAUAUGCUGGGCGCUUUCCAAAGAAAAAUUAACAGUAAAUCCUCAAACCAUUAUGGUCUCGUUGAAACCUCACAACUUUUCACAGAGGGAAAGGACACGCGGCUAGCAGCUGGAGCACGAUGGAUGGAGGCAGGAUGCAAACUCAGACCUGUCGGCUUUGCAGCGUGGCCCUUCCCAUUCCAUUUCUCCAGGUCCAAAGUGAAGGCAUAGCAGUGGGAAAGGCACAAGGAGUUCUCUCUGGCAAGAGGGCAGUGUCUGGCUCUGAUGGUUUCACAUCUUAAAUUUCAUACUGUCUCCCAGAGCUUCCUGAUCAAGGUCAAAUUCCGUAGCUUAGCACAAGGGGUCCUAGAGUAAGAGAUCUAACCCAAGAUGGUCAUGGAUCCUUUGAGAAUACAGUCAAGUGUUAUGCUUCCA